rnacentral:rRNA from 1 species
GCUUUGCUGACGAGUGGCGGACGGGUGAGUAAUGUCUGGGAAACUGCCUGAUGGAGGGGGAUAACUACUGGAAACGGUGGCUAAUACCGCAUAACGUCGCAAGACCAAAGAGGGGGACCUUCGGGCCUCUUGCCAUCAGAUGUGCCCAGAUGGGAUUAGCUUGUUGGUGAGGUAACGGCUCACCAAGGCGACGAUCCCUAGCUGGUCUGAGAGGAUGACCAGCCACACUGGAACUGAGACACGGUCCAGACUCCUACGGGAGGCAGCAGUGGGGAAUAUUGCACAAUGGGCGCAAGCCUGAUGCAGCCAUGCCGCGUGUAUGAAGAAGGCCUUCGGGUUGUAAAGUACUUUCAGCGGGGAGGAAGGUGUUGUGGUUAAUAACCGCAGCAAUUGACGUUACCCGCAGAAGAAGCACCGGCUAACUCCGUGCCAGCAGCCGCGGUAAUACGGAGGGUGCAAGCGU